rnacentral:rRNA from 1 species
AAACNUNUGUCNUNUAGAGGAUNUCUGGUGAAUCAUAAUAACUAGUCGAAUCGACAGGCCUUGUGCCGGCGAUGGCUCAUUCAAAUUUCUUCCCUAUCAACUUUCGAUGUUUGGGUCUUGUCCAAACAUGGUGGCAACGGGUAACGGAGGGUUAGGGCUCGACCCCGGAGAAGGAGCCUGAGAAACGGCUACUACAUCCAAGGAAGGCAGCAGGCGCGCAAAUUACCCAAUCCCGACACGGGGAGGUAGUGACAAUAAAUACUGAUACAGGGCUCUUUUGGGUCUUGUAAUCGGAAUGAGUACAAUUUAAAUCCCUUAACGAGGAACAAUUGGAGGGCAAGUCUGGUGCCAGCAGCCGCGGUAAUUCCAGCUCCAAUAGCGUAUAUUAAAGUUGUUGUGGUUAAAAAGCUCGUAGUUGAACCUUGGGCCUGGCUGGCCGGUCCGCCUCACCGCGUGCACUGGUCCGGCCGGGCCUUUCCCUCUGCGGAACCCCAUGCCCUUCACUGGGUGUGGCGGGGAAACAGGACUUUUACUUUGAAAAAAUUAGAGUGCUCAAGGCAGGCCUAUGCUCGAAUACAUUAGCAUGGAAUAAUAGAAUAGGACGUGUGGUUCUAUUUUGUUGGUUUCUAGGACCGCCGUAAUGAUUAAUAGGGACAGUCGGGGGCAUCAGUAUUCAAUUGUCAGAGGUGAAAUUCUUGGAUUUAUUGAAGACUAACUACUGCGAAAGCAUUUGCCAAGGAUGUUUUCAUUAAUCAAG